AGGCGGCCGGAGCCCGCCUCCGAGGCAGUGAUGGAGGCCGAGGGAGGAGGAAGAGCCGCCGCUGGUUGCCUUUACUUGGUAGAUACAGUAGUGGGAGAUCCAGAGGCUCUGCAGGCAGAUGCUGAGACAUAUUAUGAAAAACUCUUGAAGCAGUCAUCAUCCACUCGUGAUGUUUUCUCUAUCCCUGGAAGAGAGAAGGUUAAACUUGAAGAUUCCUGUGUGUGUUUUGUCCCUCUCUACCGAAAUAAUCCUACUUGCAAAAUGUUGCUGUUAACUGAUCCACAGGAUAAAGAGACAGUUUUGGCACUUUAUUUGAACCAGUGUUGGUGGCCUCUUGAAGAUGUUGUAAAGACGGCUGAUCCUUCUAGAGAUGGGUUAAUUUCGGUCCAGACGUUUGGAGAAAGGAUUGUCCUCUUUGUUCUGAACUAUAUUAUUUUUGGAAUGCUGGAAGGGAGUUCAGCUAAUGAUGCAUUCUUUCUACCUCACUCUGCCACUGAGUGUGCCAAGAUACUCUGGAGAAAUGGCGAGGCCGUUGCCUUUUACUCGGUCAAGAUGAAAGGGAGCCUAUGUGAUGGUACUACCAGUCAAUGUUACUUGCUGCCAGUUUUGGAUACUAUAUUUGUCCAGAGAAAAUACAGAAGAGGUGGCCUGGGGAUGAAAAUGCUGCACGAUUUCUGUCAGUCUUUCAAGGCUGAGGAUGCCUUGGGGAUCAGUUGCCCUAUUUCUGCUGCCAUGUAUCAAGUUUGCCAGAAAUUCUUGCAGACUUAUCCUGAGGAGCAGAAGCGACUGUGGGAGGUGGAAGCACCAGGAGAUUGGAGCCAGCGAGUGAAUAUCUGGUUAAAAAUUCAGAUGGAGUCAUCCCCUUCAGGAAAGGAUGAAGUCUCUUAUGGAGAAUAUUCAACCUAGUAAACAAAGACAAUCAGAUGCGGGCCAGAUGAAUAAGGGCGUCAAAUGCAUUCUUGAUCUUGGGAAAGUGGCAGGAGAUGCCACAGGAAAAAAAAAGAUGACACAGCAACAGCAAGGACUCUAAACUCGCAGGGACCUGAAUGACAGGACAUAGAACAAGGUGGAAGCAAUAGUCAGCAAUGCAAAGGAUUCAGAAAGGAUUCAGGUCCUGUGGACUUAGUUGGAGACAAGGCCACCAAACAAUUCAGAAUUAUGCCAUAAUUGCACUCUCAAAAAUCAGCAAAAUCUCAGUAUGGUCUUCAAAAGUUGUAAUUGACUAUUCAUAAUUUGUAACGCCAGAGAGAUUUAUUCAGGAUGAAGCUCUUAAGGAUCAGAUCUUUAGUCCAUUGGAGGAGAAGUCUUUGCAAAGACGUGGGCCCAGUGAUGAACAGUAGAGUCUUUGUGAACCUGAAUGGAUUCAGCAG